rnacentral:misc_RNA from 1 species
GUGAAUUUAGAGUGUCUCCUUAACGAGAGCUCGACCUCCACUACUUCUACUCUGUGCACCAAUCAAAAGCUCGAUGAUAGUAGUCUGCCUCGGUGGGCGAAACCGUCUUGCUUUUUUUUACUUUACAAACAUUGAAGUUAAAGAAUGUAAAACAAACCAUAACAAAAAA